CAAAGGGCCAGCUCUCUUCAGCAGUAAGAUAUUUCAUCUCUAAAAAUCGCCUGCUGUUCAUGCUGCAUAUUUGGCAUUAUGGGACCUUUUUCGUCGAUUUACACAGGACGGGAAACAAGGCCUUGGUUAAACUGUCAGAAUGAAGUUGAAGCUCACCGCGAGGGACAACGGAUAACAGACUUUAAUGGCGGAUUGAGGCUUUAUCUACAGCAGGACAAACAAUGCAUUUUGUUGGUCUUGUUAUCCUCCCAGUGGCUGCAACGUUGCAUUAAUACGGCUGUAAGUCGCAUUCUCCAUGAGAGAGAGGCACUGCAGGGAGAAGAAGAGCGAGAGAAGGAUAAGAGGUCUGAUGAAUAUCUUUAAACCUGGGCGGCUAAGAGCGGAAAGGAGGACGAGUGGACCUUGAGCAGUGUGAGGGGAGUGUUGGUCUUAUGAUGGAUGGUGAGGAGCCCGUGUGUCUGGAUCAAUGCUGUGAGCUCCUCGGUGUGGAACAGGUGAGAGAAAGAUGACGAAUGAGCAUUGGGGCCUGGCACCGUCGUGCAGUUUGCCAUUUCAAAGCACACCGAUCAUUUUCAGGGCCACACGCGCAGACAUGUGCGCAGAAAAAAAUCCCUAUUUGCAUCAUCCUCAAUGUGUCAUCUCCGCCUGAGCCACUUGAGAACGGCUAACUUGGUUAGCCUUUCCUCGCCCCUCUUUCUCAUGUCCGCAGGAGGAGCGUCUGGCCGGGUGCUUGGACUGAACUGAUAUGUUCAUUAGCAGUGAGUGAUGCCCCUGGAUGGGUCAGGCAGCUGCCCGGCCCUUUGUGACGGCAAAGUGGAAAGCGCGAGCUGAGCAACUAAUCUUUCAUUGACAGACAGCCGGACAGCCGCUCGCUGCUUUAUUCUCAGAUGUCAGACUGGAAAAUUGCUGAAUUACACAAUUUUUCAUAACAAUACCAAAGUAUAUCGGUCAAACCCUAUUCAUGGUGUGUACAUGGCCCUAGAAAUACUAUGGCACAUAUCCAAAAACAUGCCAUUCUUUGAAGUAUCUUGGAGUAGUGGUCUAUCUCAAAAUGGCCAAUCAAAUGAAUCGUUGUUGCUUUUGUAUGCAUGCCUGACAUUGCUAUUCUAUUUUUUAAAGAAUAAAUAGUG